AAAGGGUCGGCAGUUCAUGGCCUCUUGUCUCGAGCUCUUACCCAGAACUCAACCUGAGGCUUGCAGUGCAUCUGCACACUGAGCUACCUGCACCAGAUUCCUAUUGUAGAAGCCUAAAGCAGUAACCCUCAGCAGCAGAUCUGCAGAGGAAUGCUGCAGUGCUCUCGGAGGAGUGCCUGCUGAAGGCCAGUCUUCAGACCUCACUACCUGAAGACACUUCCGAGCACGGGAAGGC